CAGUCGCCGCGGUAAUACGAAGGGGGCUAGCGUUGUUCGGAUUUACUGGGCGUAAAGCGCACGUAGGCGGACUUUUAAGACAGGGGUGAAAUCCCGGGGCUCAACCCCGGAACUGCCUUUGAUACUGGGAGUCUUGAGUUCGAGAGAGGUGAGUAGAAUUGCGAGUGUAGAGGUGAAAUUCGUAGAUAUUCGCAGGAACACCAGUGGCGAAGGCGGCUCACUGGCUCGAUACUGACGCUGAGGCACGAAAGCGUGGGGAGCAAACAGGAUUAGAUACCCCAGUAGUCCCUGUCUCUUAUAA
rnacentral:rRNA from 1 species